rnacentral:rRNA from 1 species
CACGCCGUAAACGAUGAUAACUAGCUGUCCGGGUUCAUGGAAUUUGGGUGGCGCAGCUAACGCAUUAAGUUAUCCGCCUGGGGAGNGCGCAGAACCUUACCAGCGUUUGACAUCCUCAUCGCGAUUGCCAGAGAUGGCUUUCUUCAGUUCGGCUGGAUGAGUGACAGGUGC